rnacentral:lncRNA from 1 species
GGAAAAAGAAUCUUAUCUUGUCUUUAAUAAUUUCUAGGCAUGCAUUAGUUUUGUAGUUUCUUGUUAAUUGUUGUGACGAUGGGGCCCCAAGUGUACCCGACAAUAAUUAUACAAGUUACCGGCUAUAGUAAGUUUUAGUUACCGGCUUAAAUAGUAAGCCUUUUCUUCCCUAUAUAAAGGGAUUUAAGUUUCAUUUGUAAGGACACCUUCGAAGAAAAAAUAUAAAGUUUCUCAAAAUAUUGUCUAUACCUUUUUCUAUACUCCUUGCUUACACUAAAAACAUUCCGAUCCUGCUUCCGCUUAGAAAAACUUUGGUAUCAUCGCCUGGACUUGCCAA